GUGACUGACACAUAGCUUCUGCUUUGCACUUGAUUUCCUCACACAUUUGCUCACAAUGUUUCUUGAAUCUUGUUUUGUAGUUCUGGAAUUCUGGUGCAUAUCAUUCUAGUUCUCAGCUUCCUGGGCUUCUGCUUUUCCGACAAAAUGAAUAAGGAAUAAGUGUUUGGACCAUAUACAUUUCUAAGACACGUGGAAUGACAUUUCGCCAUAAUAAUGGACAUCUGCUCGUGGACAGAAUAAGGGGUGAGUUUGGACCAUACAGAGUUUGGGAAAUUUGUCAUGAUGGACAUCUGCUCAUGGACAGAAUCAUGAAGUCUCAGCAUGUGGACCCUGAAGAGGCUGUUCAGAUUCACAUGGACAUUCAGGUGAAAACUUCACUGCUGGAUGUUUGCUUUAGCCUAUGAGGCCAAUGAGGAGGGCGUGUUUUACCUCAAGAAUAGUAAUCAAGUCGGAAUAGGCGAUUUGUAAGCUUUGAUGCCACAGUGACACCUUGUGUUGCCCAAACUAAAUACAGUGUGAUACAGUGUAGUCUGCAUGAUGGCAAUAAUCUAACAUCAUGCUUUUAUCCUUUUGUGUAUCAUGCAAAACCCAAACCGUUUGUGUAUCAUGCAGUCAGACCAAGUGUGAAAGCACCUUUAGACUGGUGUGUUCACACUUGCCAUGUUCAGUCCAAUUAAAACAAACCCUGAUGCUACUGCUCUGAUUGUGCGGCUCAUGUGUGAACGCUGCCAUCCAAACUCUGGUGCAGUUCGAAUGAAAUAUGAACGUUAACAGUGACCAAAGACAGGACAUUAAAUCACAAGAUGAGACCCUAAAAAUGACAAAAUGCUCAAGCCUACCAGUUUUUUCUAGUCAUAUAGUCGCGAUGUUGCCCUUCAAAGUUUGGUACAGACAUCAGAACCACUUCCCCUUUGCAGCUUUUUCUGUGUGUGCGAUGGACUACACACAUACAACAAAAGCAUUGCUUCGGAUGUUCGGUCACAAACUCGAUGUUAUAAAAGCUUAUCAAUCAGGUUGUGAACGUAUCCCUAUUCCUUUAGGUUCGGUAUCUUUUUAGUUUAGUGUUAAAAAGCCAAUGUGAAUGCUAUACAAACCAGGACUAAAGGUUUUUUCUUUUUGGUCCAGACCAAAUUUAACCAAGUGAACUGAGCUACAAGUGUGAACACACCCAAAAAUGGUGAAUCAUGAACUGAAUCCAGAUCUGUUGUUUACACUUCAUCAUGGAAAGUCACGGGUGAUCCAGCUGAACAGAAACCCAGGAAGUAUGCAGACACACAUUAUCUACGUAUGAUCUGCAUAGGCUGCAUUUCUAUGAAUUAUUUUACAGCUGCAGAUUGUCCUGAUCCAGUGGCUGGACUCUGGAUUUAAUGCAGUAUGAAUGUUAAAAAGACAUUUAUUCGAUUUCUGUUUUGAUUUCAUAUAAUUUGUCAUUUACACGAUCAUGCUGUGACCAGAAUAACACAACAUCUGAAUUUAAAUAGUGUAUCUUGAAGCUCUGCUGCUUGGAAGAACGUUGGUCAGGUGAGAUCUUACCUGAGGAACUUGUUGUAAUCCUUCAUGAGACGCAGAAGAACCAAACCUUAGGAAAUUCACUUUAUUUGCAAUUGUUUAAUAACAUCAUUCCUCAGAUAAAAAUGCAAUAUUACAGGAAUAUACAGCAGAGAUUAAAUUUAAAACUUCCUGUCAAGAACCAUACAAUCUAAAGAUAUUUUUUGAGUUUUUAUUUACUGGUAGCGUGCGUUAUAAGCAAGACACACUCUGUCACCAAAGACAGACUGACAGAUACAGAUACAAACUGUACAAUCACUUAUUUACAAAUCCAAUUUUUAUAUAUUUUUUUCAUUUCACUUUUUUUUUGAAAAUAGGAGUAGAAAAAGUGAUUGAAUCUUCAGAUUUACGUAGCGUAUUCUUUUUAAAAUCUAAAUGAACAACAAAUGAAAGAAUGAUGAAAUGAAACAAAAGAGUCUCAGCAAAAGUAGAGGAGGGAAUGACAGACCAUGCAGACGUCUCACAGUUUUCAAUAACACCUGGGGUCUAAACUCCAUUAAAUAAGUCCAAAAUGUGAAUGACCUCUGACGGUGUUUGGUGAGAGACCUGAAUGGUCAGCACUGAUGCUUUCGAAAUUCUACCAAAAGCAUGAUGCGCGUCUAAUUUUAAUUCAACUCGUUAAUCUAA